AGUUCUAAUGAGGUAAGGAAGUUCUACUUUAGUGAAAGAAUGAAACUUCCUUACUGUUCACUAACCUACAUCUCAAUUACCUCCCAACAUGUUUGCAGCAAGUACCCUGUCGAUGGUAGGCAAGAGGAAGGUGUGACCCACAAAGAUCAAGGAAUCUAAGCCGGCCAAGUUCUAAAGGCUGGAAAGUCCAAGACCAAGACACCAGCAGAUUCAGUGUCUGGUGAGAGCCCACUCUCUGAUUCACAGAAGGCUUCUUACUGUGUUGAAAAGUUACCCAUGGUUCGCUGAGGUCCAACAAUAUUCAGUGAAAAAUUCCAUAAAUAAACAACUUAUACGUUUCGAAUUGCAUGCCGUUCUUAGUAGUGUGAUGAAAUCUCACGCCACCCAGCUCCAUCCUGCCCGGGAUGUGAAUCAUCCUUUUGUCCAUCGUAUUCCUGCUGUAGACAUGACUCAACCCACCCAUCACUUAGCAGCCGUCUGGGUUAUCAGAUUGACUGUCAUAGUGGCACAGUGCUUGUGUUCAAGCAACCCUUAUUUUACUUCCCGAUGGCCCCAAAGUGCAAGAGUAGCGACGCUGGUGAUUCCGACAUGCCAGAAAGAGGCUGCAAAGUGCUUCCUGUAAGCGAAAAGCUGAAAGUUCUCAAUGUAAUAAGGAAAGAAAAAGAAAUCAUAUGCUGAGGUUGCUAAGAUCUAUGGAGGAGUGGCCCUUGGACUCUGGCUACCAGAGGCAUCCCAGCCAACUGGGAAACUUCAACAGCUUCAGGUACUCAGGGAGUUUUGAAAUCUUCCAAGAUGCCAUCGAGGAACUGAAAAGUGCUGUCCAGCUGCAGUGAGGGCUUUUUAAAGGCAGUUCCAUGUCUACACCCCACUGAGUUCAGACUGUCCAAUGAACCACUGACAUUGUUACACCUGCGUAUUGUGGACAACUUGAGAAAACACUUGUCUGCAGGAAGAUGAAAUUAAAAUCAAGUGUGAUCCUACCACCG